rnacentral:rRNA from 1 species
UACGUAGGGCGCGAGCGUUGUCCGGAAUUAUUGGGCGUAAAGAGCUCGUAGGCGGCCUGUUGCGUCCGCUGUGAAAUCCCAGGGCUCAACCCUGGGCGUGCGGUGGAUACGGGCGGGCUGGGAUUCGGUAGGGGAGACUGGAAUUCCUGGUGUAGCGGUGAAAUGCGCAGAUAUUAGGAGGAACACCGGUGGCGAAGGCGCCACUCUGGGCCGAAACUGACGCUGAGGAGCGGAAAAGCGUGG